AAAGAAAAGAGAAAUCAAAGAUAAAAUGAACACCCAAAUCAAAGGCAUUGAGCUUUCCAAAAUAGCUAUAAAGUGAAGUUCUAGAGAAAAAGAGUCAAAGAGAAUGAUUGAAACGACGACAGGGAGGACAACCACAAAAGAGCCUACAACAGGCGAUGAGCAAGUCCAUUUUGAAACGCAUUCUAAAUGGACUACUGGCUUAUGUGGAUGCUGCGAAGAUCCCUCUAAUUGUCUAGUUACUACUUUCUGUCCCUGUAUUACCUUCGGCCGGAAUGCAGAGAUCAUUGAUAAGAAUGCUGUAUCAUGUGUUUGUUCUGGGUUGGUUUUCAUGGUGCUUUCGUACGUGGGGGUUCCAUGUUUGUACUCCUUCACAUAUCGAAGCAAGCUAAGAGGGCAACAUUCAUUGCCAGAACACCCUUGUGCUGAUUGCUGUGUUCAUUGCUGGUGUCUCCACUGUGCUCUUUGUCAAGAGUACCGAGAGCUUAAGAAUCGCGGACUCUACCCUUCCAUAGGUACUUUCUUUCUCUGAUUGAAACUUUGAAAUCAAGAUCUCUCAUCUCUGAAAACCUGCAACUUCUGCCCUUAAUUACCACAGGUUGGGCAGCCAAUGCAGAGAGAAUGAACAAAGUUGGAGCCAUGGCACCUCCAGUUGUUGAACAAGGUAUGCCUCGUUAGGAUUUAUGAGGCUGAGGACAUUCUUAAUUUUUACUCUAGAGUCGAUCAAUGAAGUGUAAUAGUGUGUUGAACUGUUGAUCUUUCUUGUAAUUCAUUACCAUAUUCCAACUUCUUGUGUUGUAAUCAAUAAGGUUAUGGAGUUGGAUUGCUCUACAUAUAUAGGUAUUCUACUUACAAUCAUCUCUUUUUUUUUUUUUCAAUUCCUC
rnacentral:misc_RNA from 1 species